rnacentral:rRNA from 1 species
CUAGGAAUCUGCCUGGUAGGGGGGGACAACGUUUCGACAGGAACGCUAAUACCGCAUACGUCCUACGGGAGAAAGCAGGGGACCUUCGGGCCUUGCGCUAUCAGAUGAGCCUAGGUCGGAUUAGCUAGUUGGUGAGGUAACGGCUCACCAAGGCGACGAUCCGUAACUGGUCUGAGAGGAUGAUCAGUCACACUGGAACUGAGACACGGUCCAGACUCCUACGGGAGGCAGCAGUGGGGAAUAUUGGACAAUGGGCGAAAGCCUGAUCCAGCCAUGCCGCGUGUGUGAAGAAGGUCUUCGGAUUGUAAAGCACUUUAAGUUGGGAGGAAGGGCAUUAACCUAAUACGUUAGUGUUUUGACGUUACCGACAGAAUAAGCACCGGCUAACUUCGUGCCAGCAGCCGCGGUAAUACGGAGGGUGCAAGCGUUAAUCGGAAUUACUGGGCGUAAAGCGCGCGUAGGUGGUUUGUUAAGUUGAAUGUGAAAGCCCCGGGCUCAACCUGGGAACUGCAUCCAAAACUGGCAAGCUAGAGUAUGGCAGAGGGUGGUGGAAUUUCCUGUGUAGCGGUGAAAUGCGUAGAUAUAGGAAGGAACACCAGUGGCGAAGGCGACCACCUGGGCUAAUACUGACACUGAGGUGCGAAAGCGUGG